ensembl:lncRNA
AGUUAUGUGCACGCCUGGAACAAGUAUAAUGUGGAUCAAGUCUCAGCAAAACCUCACCUAUUGUUAUUAUUAAACGCACAGCGAGGAGAAGACUUGUGAUUGCAGGUAAAAAAAAAAGUAUUCAGCAUUUCACAUUUGUUCGACAGCCCCGAACAAGGAUGUUUUUGGAGUUGUUGAAAAUAACAUCAAAUGCACACAUCACGAUGCAUUUUCCUCAUCAACAUUAGGAUUAACUGCACCAGAAAUAAAUGUUUCAUCAAAGUUUUCAAUUUUUUAAAUAAAAUAUUCUAGCAUUUUGCACAAGGAGCACAUCGUUCAAACAAACGUGCAUGUGCAAAUUCUGAAUGUGAAAAGUAAUCAGAUUCAAGUUUACAUGGGUGUUAUUCUUUUAUUUAAUGGAUUAUUAAUAAAAGGAUUACCCACUUGAAUCGCUUGAUAGAAAUCUCACUAUGAUUGUCUUCAAGAGGUGUGUGUGUGUAGCUGUAUCUAUAUAAAUAUCUAGAUAGAGAUUUAAGCUGCAUGUAGCUAUUACAGUUGUUAGCGCUGGAAGUGUAAUUCCUCCCCAGUCCUGCGGUGGCGCUGUAACCUGCAUCUUCACUCACAGCGCGUGCUUUCCUAGUACAGGCGUGCGCGCGCUACAUAUAUCCCCAGCGAGAAGAGAAAAUGGAGGAAGUCAUUACGUUGACCGCGUUGCAGACUACCUAUAUUCCUAAAUAUCUCGUUGUGAUGUGAAUGGCUCAGGAACUGCUCGUUAUUAAACACUAUUCCCAGUUCAGCAGAGCCUGAACGGCACCCAAACAGCUGAAGUCAAUGAGGGAUUUACGAAAUGAUUAUUCCUUAAAGAUGGGGCCGUACCCACUUUAUUUGGACCAUUUUGCGCCUCUGGAUCACAACCUGUAAGUAUGAUUGGUUAUUCAUGUAUAUAUUUUCUACUGAGUGUUCCAAAUGCGUAGUUUUGUGGUGUUUAUAUGUGUACAGCCAGUGUACUGCUGUAGGCCUCUGUUAACCGGCUAACUCACAUUAUUGCCAAACUACCUACAAACCUACCACUGAGAAACAUUCUGUUCUCAUCGUGCUUGUGAUGGUGGUUCGGGUUGAUCUUCCGACGUAUCAGACUCGGGGCUCAAAUUGAUGAGGUAAAUCCGACAACAUUAUUACUGAGCUGAAAUGAUAUAAGAUAUGAUAGUGAGGGUUUCAUUUCCAACGCGUUGUGAGCGGUAUAACAAUCACAACAGACUUGGGCAUCUGACCAGUCAGAGCAGAGUAGACUCUCUGUAAGGAGGAGUUUAGUGUGAACAGAUCCUUGAGCGAGUCGUUUGUAACCCUUUGAACAAGAGGUGAUGCUGCAAUGUAAAUUAUGAGAAAAUUUGUGUUUUUUGACCUUGGAUGCAUGUAAACCUUUUGUUUGAGAUUUCUAAUACAAAAUUAGGCACUUUUAUACAGCAUAAUAAGGGCACUUUAAAGAAAAGGUAUUUAAAAA